GUCAGCCUUGUUCUUGCAAGAGCAGAUGGAGGCUGUGCCUCGCUGAGCUCUCAUUGCUGCUCACGUGGAACCCACUCAGACUCUCGCUCGGAAGCCGGGCCCACCUCCCGCCUCAUUGCUCUCGGCCGGGGUCUGCCCUGUGAAUGAGAGCUGGGGCCUUCAAUCUGCUUUUCUGCCAAAACUGUCCCCGAUAUUCCUUCGUCCUUUUCUCUACUGGAUGACUCACCAUAUUUGCAGUUGUCUGUCAGACCUCAGUAUUUGCGAUGCUUCUUCAGUUUUCUCUAGUUACCCGCCUGAACUCUAUUUAUAACACAUGACACCAGCAAGGCACUCAACUCACUGCCGCAUUCUCUGAUGCUGUGUUGAUUGUCCUUAAAUCUUGCCAACAUGGACUUGGUUGACCCCUGGGCCUGGCUGCUCAAGUGCGGGUGGGGGGCUUUGGGGGUUUAUGUGACAAGAACCAGGCCAACCUCAAGACAAACCUUUUGGAGGAAGCUUUGCUUCAGGCCACGGCGUUUGGAGUUUUAAUACUGAUUCCACAGUUUGUUGGUCCUAUUAUGAGAAUCAGACCCAUUUCCUUUCUGGAUAUUUUACAUUGCAACCUGACCACUGGAGAACAAAGCAAACCUGACUAGAAUAAACAUGGGCCUCUUUUUCCUUAAUUAUUUUGGAAAAUUGCUUUUUUAUUUUCCAAUUAGAGAAUGACAUUUGAUUCCCUGUUAACUGUUUUUAUCUGAUGUUUUGGCAGUCCCACAGUGGGAUAGGGCUGCGGCCCGCAAGGAGGCUAGGUCUGUCAUGUCCCCGCCGUAUCCACUUUCUCCAAAGCAUUUCAGAACUACGCUUCCUAACCACAGUGCUCUUCUCUACGUGGGCACUCGUCUCACAGCAUAAUUCUUACUAAACUCAGUAUGGGAGGAACAGAACAGCAUCUCAAAAGCCUUCCAUGCUUUCUCUUUGCUGAGCCAAUCCUACGUUAGAUUCCUACUUACGGUCCGUCUGUGUCAGCUCCCCAUUCAUCCUUCCAUUCAUAUCUUCCUGUCCACAUGAGUCUGUCCUCCAGCUUCUGGUGCCUUAUUUUUUCUACUAUAGUGAGGUGUUUCCAGAGGGAGGGCAGGGUUGCACUUGACUUUUGGCUUUUUUCUUUUUUAGACAUGGCGCCAGCACUGUGUUUUAUAGAGUAGGGCUUUAAGUUGCCUUUUAAAAAAUUGUUUGGAAUAAAAGUAAACAAGCAUAGAAAACGGUCAUGUAGCCUGUGCUGUGUAGUUUUGUACCUGUCCUUUCCUGUAAUUUUGUGCCGGAUUUUCCUACAACAAAAAAACCUCCUCACCCAGCGAUGUAGAAGCAGCAGAGUCGCCUCCAGAGAAACCAGAGGCACCUGGUGAACCAGGACAAUGACAGCUGAGGGGGAAGGUGGGAGUGAAAUUCCGAAAUAUCCUGGCAAGAAUCAUGAUAAUAGGGAUGCCCAAGACACUUAAGGAAGAAAUAUUAGUGGAAAAAACAAGGCCAAAAAUGUUACAUUUAGGCAUGUUUGAUGCCAAUCAUGUGUGUUAAAUAAUAAAGCUCAUUUCUUUGU